UAAAUGCGAUAUGUAAUGUGAUACGCAAGUUGUAGUGAAUCAUUGAAAUCUUGAACGCAAAUUGCGCUUUCAAUUUAUGUUGAAAGCAUAUUUCAUUGAGGGUGGCAAUUGUUAAUAAUAAUAAAUGCGAAAGCAUUUUUUAUUUUGUUAUUGUGGAGUGAGAUGGGGUUUUUUUUUAUCUCUCCCAUUAAAAGAAUUAUUUAUAUAUAUUAUUUAUUAAAACAUAUAACAUAUAUCAUUUUAUUUUUAUUCCCCCACCUCAAGGAAAUAUGAAAUACCCGCUGAACUUAA
rnacentral:misc_RNA from 1 species